AGGACGAACGCUGGCGGCGUGCUUAACACAUGCAAGUCGAGCGGAAAGGCCCUUCGGGGUACUCGAGCGGCGAACGGGUGAGUAACACGUGAGUAAUCUGCCCCUAGCUCUGGGAUAGCUCCGGGAAACCGGGAUUAAUACUGGAUACGACCACCUUAGACAUCUUUUGUGGUGGAAAGAAUUUCGGCUAGGGAUGAGCUCGCGGCCUAUCAGCUUGUUGGUGGGGUAACGGCCUACCAAGGCGACGACGGGUAGCCGGCCUGAGAGGGCGACCGGCCACACUGGGACUGAGACACGGCCCAGACUCCUACGGGAGGCAGCAGUGGGGAAUAUUGCGCAAUGGGCGAAAGCCUGACGCAGCGACGCCGCGUGGGGGAUGAAGGCCUUCGGGUUGUAACCCUUUCAGCAGGGACGAAGCGAAAGUGACGGUACCUGCAGAAGAAGCGCCGGCUAACUACGUGCCAGCAGCCGC
rnacentral:rRNA from 1 species